AUCGCUUGUCCGUGAUCAGACUUGGGCCAAAUGUUGUGUAAGGCUGGAUUUAUUGCAAGUACGUGAGAAGCCAAAGACUAAACUAAAGAAAACCAUCACAUUAGGCCCAGAAUUUCAUACAGAUAUGGGCCACUGUCGGGCCAACGUGGACUGCCGGCAUGGUGACGGCCACCACCGAUGACUGCAUGGCUGCCGGCGAGGUCCGGCGCCUCCUCCCGCACCUGCCCCGUCUUCUGCACCUCCGGCUGGCCAGCGCCUAGCCCCGCGAGGCCGCCUCCAAGCUUCCCUGUCCACGCA